rnacentral:snoRNA from 1 species
AAGGCUGCCAUGGAAGGACUUGAACGCUGUGUCACGUGUGUCAGUGGGUGGCUGAGAGGAGAGAGCCUGUGUCUGCUCUCAGCGUUCUGACCUCUGAGCCUCUGAAUGAUUAGUAGCCUAACCCU